rnacentral:rRNA from 1 species
GACGAACGCUGGCGGCGUGCUUAACACAUGCAAGUCGAACGGAAAGGCCCUGCUUGCAGGGUACUCGAGUGGCGAACGGGUGAGUAACACGUGGGUGAUCUGCCCUGCACUUCGGGAUAAGCCUGUGAAACUGGGUCUAGUACCGGAUAGGAGCCAUUUUUAGUGUGAUGGUUGGAAAGUUUUUUCGGUGUAGGAUGAGCUCGCGGGCUAUCAGCUUGUUGGUGGGGUAAUGGCCUACCAAGGCGGCGACGGGUAGCCGGACUGAGAGGGUGGACGGCGAUCUUGGGACUGAGAUACGGCACAGACUGCGACGGGAGGCAGCAGUGGGGAAUAUUGCACAAGGGGCGCAAGCCUGAUGCAGCGACGCUGCGUGGGGGAUGACGGUCUUAGGGUUGUAAACCACUUGCGCUAGGGACGAAGCUCUUUGUGACGGUACCUAGAUAAGAAGCACCGGCUAACUACGUG